CCUACGGGCCGCAGCAGUGGGGAAUAUUGGGCAAUGGAGGAAACCCUGACCCAGCGACGCCGCGUGCGGGAUGAAGGCCUUCGGGUUGUAAACCGCUUUCAGUAGGGAAGAAGCGAAAGUGACGGUACCUACAAAAGAAGCACCGGCUAACUAUGUGCCAGCAGCCGCGGUAAUACAUAGGGUGCAAGCGUUGUCCGGAAUUAUUGGGCGUAAAGAGCUCGUAGGUCGUUUGUUACGUCGGAUGUGAAAACCUGAGGCUCAACCUCAGGCCUGCAUUCGAUACGGGCAAACUAGAGUUUGGUAGGGGAGACUGGAAUUCCUGGCGUAGCGGUGGAAUGCGCAGAUAUCAGGAGGAACACCAAUGGCGAAGGCAGGUCUCUGGGCCAACACUGACACCGAGGAGCGAAAGUCUGGGGAGCGAACAGGAUUAGAUACCCCUGUAGUC
rnacentral:rRNA from 1 species